rnacentral:lncRNA from 1 species
ACUGCCAGCAGCUCUGGCGGGGUCAUGCUCCUGCCAGCCAGGACCACGGCACCGCACUCGGCACAAGCGCCGAUGGUCAGCUGCUUCCCAUCAUCCACCAGCAGGCUGUUGGCCACGCGGAGGGUGUAGAGGAAGACGGGAAGUCUGGCCACUUGAACCGCUUUUAAUCCAAGGCAUCUCUUCUUCUCCUGCCGGCAGAAGAAGCAGACGAAGGUCUCCACUUUGUACUGCCGGGACCAGGCGCUGCUGGGGUGGUGGGAGUUCCUGCCCUCGUGCUGCAGCCACUGUCCCAGCAGGUCGUGGUAGCACAGGAUGCAAGUGGCCACCAGUCCCGUCGAGUCGGCCGGUCUGGCCCGUGGGGCGGGUGGGUAGACUGUCAAGAAGGGGAAAAAGGGUUCCUUCUCCCCAAAUCGUCCCGGAGGGUUGACAUUGAGCUGGAACUCUUUGCCAGCUCCCAGCUCAGCCCCGCAGAUGUAGCAGAUGGAGGUGGGACCAGGCUUGAUGACAGCGGGGUGACCAGUCAGGUCACCAGCAGAGAAGACCUGGUGGUACCUCCCCAGGAAGCUCUGCACCGAGGAGAUGAGCUCCUCAUUGUGACAGGCCCUGUACAUGGCCCACAGGUCCUGCAGCACCCCGAAACACUUGCGGCAGCUGCUGACCUCCCAGUGCUUGUUCAGCCCCUUGGCACCGGGCGGGCAGGGCAGGAGGCUGAGGAAGGGGAAAUGCAUGGUGCUCUUGGCAUUGCCAUUGGUGAUUUUGGCAGCCACCGGCCUCGCCUCCUUGCCGCACUCCUCCCCGCACAGGUAGCAAGCCUCAGGCACCGGUGGGAUGCCCGUCCCGUCCUCCUUCAUCCCUCGCUGGCCCUUGGCGGGCAUGGCCCCGGCGCUCAGGGGCACCACGUAGAGCCGCUGCAGCACGGGCACGUUGGCCAGCUCGAAGCUUUGCCACUGCUGCAUGAGGGAGGCAAAGCAGCAGGGACACACCAGGGUGCUGCCGGUGGGAGAGAGGGGCUGGGCACCCGGUGGGGGGUUGUGCAGCCAGAGGAAGGGGAAGAAGGGUCCCGGCGAGGUCUUCUCCUGCUUCUGCACGUGGACGCGGUGCUGGGCGCUGGGUGCCAAGGGCUGCCGCAAGAUCAGCAGCCGUGCCCGGUACCCAAGUGGGCGCUCGCUGCCUCCUCCUCCACCUCCUACACCUCGCUGGUGAUGUUG